UUUUCUGAUACGUUCACUGAUAUGUGCACCAGAGGAAAGAAAUGUUGAAGUGAACAUCUCAUCACCAUUUUACGCAAGCCAGUGAAACGCUGUCAAUUUGGUUAUUUGGCGGAUCAUGGGACCUGAACUUUCUGAGUACUGUUUUCGGGAGUACCACUACUGUGGGGCAGAUUGAUGCCAAUGGGAACAAAGACAAACAAGCAGGCAAAGGAGGCAGCUGUCGUCCCCGAAGAAGAAAGACUACCAACCGGCUCGCACAGAUCAGUCAGCAAGGUCAGAACAAAAGGAGACGCACUGAACUACAUGAUGAAAGAUUUCAUUGAGACAUAGGAAGAGAAGCUCAAUAACAAGCAUCAUUGGAUGCUGGAGGCAACAUUGGAAGCAG